rnacentral:rRNA from 1 species
UACGGAAGGUCCCAAGCGUUAUCCGGAUUUAUUGGGUUUAAAGGGUGCGUAGGCGGACUAUUAAGUCAGUGGUGAAAGCCCCCAGCCUAACUGGGGAACUGCCAUUGAUACUGAUGGUCUUGAGUACAUUUGAGGUGGGCGGAAUGUGUCAUGUAGCGGUGAAAUGCUUAGAUAUGACACAGAACACCGAUUGCGAAGGCAGCUCACUAAACUGUAACUGACGCUGAGGCGCGAAAGCGUGGGGAGCAAACGGG